rnacentral:rRNA from 1 species
UACAGAGGUCUCAAGCGUUGUUCGGAUUCAUUGGGCGUAAAGGGUGCGUAGCGGCGCGGUAAGUCGGUGUGAAAUCUUGGAGCUUAACUCCGAAACUGCAUUCGAUACUGCCGUGCUUGAGGACUGGAGAGGAGACUGGAAUUACGGUGUAGCGGUGAAAUGCGUAGAUAUCGUAAGGAAGACCAGUGGCGAAGGCGGGUCUCUGG